UGAAUACGAGACGCUAAGGCGUCGAAGUAGUGUAUGUCAUACUUCCAAGAAAAGCUUGCACUGUCAUAGAUAAAAAACGCCUGUACCAUAACCGACACAGGUGGGUAGGUAGAGUAUACUAAGGGGCGCGAGAUAACUCUCUCUAAGGAACUCGGCAAAAUAACUCCGUAACUUCGGGAGAAGGAGUGCCUUAUUCGUAAGGUUGCAAUAACAAGAUCCAAGCAACUGUUUAUCAAAAACACAGGUCUCCGCUAAGUCGUAAGACGAUGUAUGGGGGCUGACGCCUGCCCAGUGCCAGAAGGUUAAAGAAGUUGGUUAGCAAUUGCGAAGCUGAUAACUGAAGCCCUGGUGAACGGCGGCCGUAACAAUAACGGUCCUAAGGUAGCGAAAUUCCUUGUCGGGUAAGUUCCGACCCACACGAAAGGCGUAAUGAUUUGGAUACUGUCUCGGAGAGGGGCUCGGUGAAAUAGACUUGUCUGUGAAGAUGCGGACUACCUGCACCAGGACAGAAAGACCCUAUGAAGCUUUACUGUAACUUGAAAUUGAAAUUGGACUUUAUUCGCGCAGUAUAGGUGGGAGGCGUUGAUUAUAAUCUUGUGGGAUUAUUGGAGCCAUCAGUGAGAUACCACUCUUGUAAUGUUAGAUUUCUAACUUUGAAUCAUUAUCUGGUCAAAGAACAGUUUCAGGCGGGCAGUUUGACUGGGGCGGUCGCCUCCUAAACGGUAACGGAGGCGUACAAAGGUUUCCUCUGAACGGUUAGAAAUCGUAUCUAGAGUGUAAAGGCAUAAGGAAGCUUGACUGUGAGACCUACAAGUCGAGCAGGGACGAAAGUCGGUCUUAGUGAUCUGACGGUACUGAGUGGAAAGGCCGUCACUCAACGGAUAAAAGUUACUCUAGGAUAACAGGCUGAUCUCCCCCAAGAGUUCACAUCGACGGGGAGGUUUGGCACCUCGAUGUCGGCUCAUCGCAUCCUGGGGCGGUAGUACGUCCCAAGGGUUGGGCUGUUCGCCCAUGAAAGCGGUACGCGAGCUGGGUUCAGAACGUCGUGAGACAGUUCGGUCCAUAUCCGGUGUAGGCGUUAGAAUAUUGAGAGGAGCCUUCUUUAGUACGAGAGGACCGAGAAGGACAUACCUCUGGUGUACCAGUUAUCGUGCCAACGGUAAACGCUGGGUAGCUAUGUAUGGAGUGGAUAACCGCUGAAAGCAUCUAAGUGGGAAGCCCACCUCAAGAUAAGUAUUCCC
rnacentral:rRNA from 1 species